rnacentral:rRNA from 1 species
UCUUGGUCAUUUAGAGGAAGUAAAAGUCGUAACAAGGUUUCCGUAGGUGAACCUGCGGAAGGAUCAUUAUCGAGUUUUGAACGGGUUGUAGCUGGCCUUUAACGAGGUAUGUGCACGCCUGGCUCAUCCACUCUCAACCUCUGUGCACUUUAUGUAAGAAACGGUGUAAGCCAGCUAUUUAUUAGUUGGUAAUAAGCCUUUCUUAUGUUUACUACAAACGCUUCAGUUAUAGAAUGUUUACUGUGUAUAACACAAUUAUAUACAACUUUCAGCAACGGAUCUCUUGGCUCUCGCAUCGAUGAAGAACGCAGCGAAAUGCGAUAAGUAAUGUGAAUUGCAGAAUUCAGUGAAUCAUCGAAUCUUUGAACGCACCUUGCACUCCUUGGUAUUCCGAGGAGUAUGCCUGUUUGAGUCUCAUGGAAUUCUCAACCCCUAAAUUUUGUAAUGAAGUUUAGUGGGCUUGGACUUGGAGGUUGUGUCGGCUUCUAGUCGACUCCUCUGAAAUGCAUUAGCGUGAAUCUUACGGAUCGCCUUCAGUGUGAUAAUUAUCUGCGCUGUGGUGUUGAAGUAUUUAUUAGUUCAUGCUUAUAAUCGUCUCUUACCGAGACAAUUUAUGACAAUCUGAGCUCAAAUCAGGUAGGACUACCCGCUGAACUUAAGCAUAUCAAUAAGCGGAGGAA